rnacentral:rRNA from 1 species
CAGUCGAGGGGCAGCAUUUUAGUUUGCUUGCAACUAAAGAUGGCGACCGGCGCACGGGUGAGUAACACGUAUCCAACCUGCCGAUAACUCGGGGAUAGCCUUUCGAAAGAAAGAUUAAUAUCCGAUAGUAUAUUAAAACCGCAUGGUUUUACUAUUAAAGAAUUUCGGUUAUCGAUGGGGAUGCGUUCCAUUAGUUUGUUGGCGGGGUAACGGCCCACCAAGACUACGAUGGAUAGGGGUUCUGAGAGGAAGGUCCCCCACAUUGGAACUGAGACACGGUCCAAACUCCUACGGGAGGCAGCAGUGAGGAAUAUUGGUCAAUGGACGAGAGUCUGAACCAGCCAAGUAGCGUGAAGGAUGACUGCCCUAUGGGUUGUAAACUUCUUUUAUAUGGGAAUAAAGUAUUCCACGUGUGGAAUUUUGUAUGUACCAUAUGAAUAAGGAUCGGCUAACUCCGUGCCAGCAGCCGCGGUAAUACGGAGGAUCCGAGCGUUAUCCGGAUUUAUUGGGUUUAAAGGGAGCGUAGGUGGAUUGUUAAGUCAGUUGUGAAAGUUUGCGGCUCAACCGUAAAAUUGCAGUUGAAACUGGCAGUCUUGAGUACAGUAGAGGUGGGCGGAAUUCGUGGUGUAGCGGUGAAAUGCUUAGAUAUCACGAAGAACUCCGAUUGCGAAGGCAGCUCACUAGACUGCAACUGACACUGAUGCUCG